rnacentral:rRNA from 1 species
UAACCUGCCCAAGAGAUCGGGAUAACACCUGGAAACAGAUGCUAAUACCGGAUAACAACAGAUGAUGCCUAUCAACUGUUUAAAAGAUGGUUCUGCUAUCACUCUUGGAUGGACCUGCGGUGCAUUAGCUAGUUGGUAGGGUAACGGCCUACCAAGGCGAUGAUGCAUAGCCGAGUUGAGAGACUGAUCGGCCACAUUGGGACUGAGACACGCCCCAAACUCCUACGGGAGGCAGCAGCG